rnacentral:rRNA from 1 species
UUGAACGCUGGCGGCAGGCCUAACACAUGCAAGUCGCGCGGAUGAAGGGAGCUUGCUCCUGGAUUCAGCGGCGGACGGGUGAGUAAUGCCCAGGAAUCUGCCUGGUAGUGGGGGAUAACGUCCGGAAACGGGCGCUAAUACCGCAUACGUCCUGAGGGAGAAAGUGGGGGAUCUUCGGACCUCACGCUAUCAGAUGAGCCUAGGUCGGAUUAGCUAGUUGGUGGGGUAAAGGCCUACCAAGGCGACGAUCCGUAACUGGUCUGAGAGGAUGAUCAGUCACACUGGAACUGAGACACGGUCCAGACUCCUACGGGAGGCAGCAGUGGGGAAUAUUGGACAAUGGGCGAAAGCCUGAUCCAGCCAUGCCGCGUGUGUGAAGAAGGUCUUCGGAUUGUAAAGCACUUUAAGUUGGGAGGAAGGGCAGUAAGUUAAUACCUUGCUGUUUUGACGUUACCAACAGAAUAAGCACCGGCUAACUUCGUG